GCCGAGCACAGUGGCAGGUGCCAGUAGUACCAGCUACUCAGGAGGCUGAGGUGGGAGGAUGUCUUGAGCCCAGGAGUUCUGGACUGUAUGUAGUGCGAUAUGCUGAUUGGGUAUCCGCCCUAAGUUCAGCAUCAAUAUGGUGACCUCCUGGAAGCAGGGGGACCACCAGGUUGCCUAAGAAGGGGUAAGUGAGGGGUAACCGGCCCAGGUCUCAUUGGAGCAGGUCAAAACUCCCAUGCUGAUCAGUAGUGGGACGGUGGCUGUGAAUAGCCACUGCACUCCAGCCUGGGCAACAUAGUGAGACCCCAUCUCUA
ensembl:misc_RNA Metazoa_SRP Metazoan signal recognition particle RNA